rnacentral:rRNA from 1 species
AACGAACGCUGGCGGCAUGCCUUACACAUGCAAGUCGAACGCGAAAGUGUCUUCGGACAUUAGUAGAGUGGGAAACGGGUGAGUAACGCGUGGGAAACUACCUCAUAGUACGGAAUAGCCUCGGGAAACUGGGAUUACUACCGCAUACGCCCUUCGGGGGAAAGAUUUAUCGCCAUAAGAUGUGCCCGCGUCAGAUUCGCUAGUUGGUGGGGUAAUAGCCUACCAAGGCAACGAUCGGUAGCUGGUCUGAGAGGACGAUCAGCCACACUGGGACUAGGACACGGCCCGGACUCCUACGGGAGGCAGCAGUGGGGAAUAUUGGACAACGGACGAAAGUCUGAGCCAGCAAGGCCGCGUGAAUGAUGGAGUCCUUAGGGUUGUAAAGUCCUUUUAGUGGGGAACAUAAUGACGGUACCCACAGAAAAAGCACCGGCUAACUUCGUGCCAGCCGCCGCAGUAA